rnacentral:lncRNA from 10 species
GCAAGUAUUUAUUUGCUUGCUAGCUCUUUAGUGGAACUGGUCUUCUGUUUCCACUGUCGCCUCGUGUGACACAAACUGCCACCUAUCUCCCAAGCUUAAUGCAGUUAAGUAACAAGAUCUUGGAAGACAAGUGUUGAAGGUGAAAGAGGCACAAGAUAGAAGAAACCUGGGUCCUUAGAUCCUUGCUUGGAGGAAAACCACCUGCCAAUCCAGAACAUCAUUUUGGACUUCAUUUCAUAUUAGAUAUUAUGUUACCAAUGAGCAGGGACUAUGAUGAAUGUGUCUUUAGAACACCCAAUGAAGUGCCACUUGCCACAAGAAGCUAAGUCACAAUCUGAUGGCCAGAGGAGGCAAUCAUUCUUCCUACAGUUUUGUGCAUAAACCUUCCUGCCUCUCUGCUGGGGACCACCUAUGGGGAAAGGAAAACUUCUCUCUCAUGGCUCUCCUUUCCCAGGAAAACUUUAGCUCCUGUUGAGACCAACACCUUCCCUGGAGAAUGCAGAGUGAAGGGAUUAGGCCCAUCACAAUUUUCCAUUCAUGAUGUUGGGUCAAGCAAGGCAUCACACAGAAUGAAUAGAAACAGAAACAGCCCCACAUGUGAAGUAGGAGCCAUGCUGGAAUGAACAAGGGCCACGGUAUGGGUGAGUUACACGGUACAGAGCACAGGGGCUGACUGCUUUGUGCUCUUCCAGGUGGGAUCAUUACUUGCCAGCCUUCCAGCUGAUGCCAGUGGCAACAGCACGACAGGCUGAACUGGAUUCUUUAUGACUAUGUAUUCAUUAGGGGGAAAAAGCACUUCCAAUGCAAAUGAUUGAAAUGGAAACAAGAUGUGCACUCUGCUGCCUAAAUGAAAGCUCUACCAGGUAGGCCAUUCAAACUCAAUUAAGAGUAGCAAAACAGGAUCUAUCAGGACAGUGGCUGUAACCCCUGUCACAGAGAAUGGACAGUGAGCGGUCCAAAUGGAUUGGGGGGCAUGAAUGGCACCUGACUUACAGCAGGAGCUCAGCACUUUUACUCUCUUUGCCGCUUCACUGGAACCAGGAGAAAAAGACAUUAGGAUGAAGGAUAAUGUGUGAUACACACAUAAAGAUGAAAGCGAGAGGGACACAUGCAAUGUCACUUAUUGGAAGGACCACUUUAGGCUGCUCUGUCCUCUCUCCCCUGAAAACAUGUUCCACAUUGUUUUAACCAUCUGUGGCCCACUCUGGAGCUCAAGGAACCCUGGCCUUUCUGCUUUAUUGUGAGCACAGCCAUAUGAAACUGCAAUCUGGCAGCUGAAGGGGAAAGUACUUUUACUGUCUCUGCUGAGAAAGGGUUUGGAUGAAUCGAAUCCCCUGUUAUGCGUGAAAUUGUACCCUCUAGAAAGCUCUGUUGAUGACCCAACCCACGGUACCUGUGAAUGUGACCUUAUUUGAAAAUAUGGUCUUAUAAAUGUAAUCAAGCAAAGAUGAGAUGAUACUGAAUUAGGGUGGGCCUCCACCAACAUGACUGGUGUCCUUAUGAGAAGCAAGGAAGAGACAUAAGGAGAACAUGGUGUGACAAUUGAGACAGAGAUUGGAGUGAUGCAUCUACAAGCCAAGAAAUGUCAAGGGCCGUGAGCCACACCAGAAGCUAAGAGAAAGGCAUGGGACUGACCCUCCCCUAGAGCCAUCAGAAAGAGCCUGACCCUGGCGGCACCUUGCUUUUGGACUUCUAGACUCCAGAAUUAUGAGAAUAAAUUUGUGUUGCUUUAAGCCACUCAGUUUGUGGUAAUUUGUUAUGACAGUUCUAAGAAACUAAUCCACCCUGCUAAAGAGUAAAUGUCUGAUGCAAAACUCACUACAUGGAUGAAAAGGCUGAGAUAUUCCGAAGAGUCAUAAUGAACUGUGCCGUCAUCUACAAAGGAAGUGCAGCACUGCAACAACUCAAGAUAGAUUCUGGAGACGUGGCAGGACAGACGUGCCUACCAGACUAGGAGCACUUUCAGGACAGCGUCAUGCCUUGUUCUCCUCCACAUCCCUCCGUGCCUGAAAAUCAGAAAUGCUCAAUUAAAUGUUGAAAAUGUCAAUAAAUUCAUAGGAAAACGAUCUCAGAUAAGUCAAUAACGUUAUGUUAUUUUAUUUUAUUUUUGAAAUGGAGUCUUGCUUUGUCACCCAGGCUGGAGUGUAGUGGCACGAUCUCAGCUCAUUGCAACCUCUGCCUCCCAGGUUCAAGCGAUUCUCCUGCCUCGGCCCCCUGAGUAGCUAGGAUUAUAGGCAUGCACCACCACGUCCAGCUAAUUUUUGUAUUUUUAGUGGAGACGGAGUUUCACCAUGUUGGUCAGGCUGGUCUCGAACUCCUGACCUCGUGAUCCACCCACCUCGGCUUCCCAAAUUGCUGGGCUUACAGGUGUGAGCCACCGCACCCAGCCAUGAUUAACCUUAUUUUAUGAUGUCAUGUAAGUCCUUACCACCACCUUCCAUGAAGACGUAACUGACAAAGACAUCUGAUUUGAUGCUUUCAUUGGAGAAACCCACCCUUGGCCAUUGAAGAGCACAACUUUGGGUUUCUUUGAGAUUUAAUCUGGUCCUUGGAUUCCCAAAUGGCAGACGUGGCCAGUAACAGCUUUUUACAAAUCUUCAAAUCCCACUGACACUGGGAUUCUGCCCCUCAGACGUGGCUGUGGUUUUUUCACUGGCAGGGCAGGAUAUGUUACUCUCCGCUUAACAUCGGCCCACUCACAGUGUUAGUUAGCCUGCUGUUUCAUACAUGAAUCCAUCUGAAAUGCCUCCGAGUCUCCAGGUGAAGGGUGCUGCCAUCAGCAGCAGCCAAUAAAUGAAAUAAUACCAAAUAUAAAAUCAGCCACAUUGGUCUCCUGGAGGUAAAUAGAGCACAGGGGCGUUUCAUUUACUGAAAGGCCAGAAUUGCGAUACCUGUAAAUGUUGAAUGUGAAUGUGUUUUAUAAAGUGUAAAGGGCUGUAAAGAAGUCAGUUAUUAUGUUUAUUAUUGCUCCUGCUCUGUACACUUGAUCAAAUGACAAACCCAAAGGCUCACCUCUCUGGGCUCCGGUUUCCUUACUCAAAUGAGGGAAUUAUGUUUAAUAUCCCAAGCUCCCAACUAAAUCUUUUUUUUUUCCUUUGACUCUAUGAAUCUAUCAGCAGGAACUUCCAUCCAAAUUCCUGAAAUGUGGGAAUAUAUUUGAUGACGCUGUUUACAUAUAAUAUUAAUUUAUUUUGCAUAAAUUUUUCAGAAUAUGUUUUGUAUAACAUAGAAGAUGAAGGGGGAAAAAGUAAAGUAAGAUGGGAAAGUAGGCCAUAAGGAAGGAUAAGGAGAAACGCUUAAGAAAAUCCACCUAUUAUAAUAAUUAAAAUUCAGCUUACCUGGAAAGGGGAGGAGAGCAUUUAUGAUUAACAUGAAUGUAGUCUGUGCUCAUUGCAAAGUAAAUUUUCAGAAAAAAAGGGCAAAAUCUGAUUAUUUUAAUCGUCAGAUUAAAUGCAAUUAGAAAUCCCACCUACCUUUUAAAGUAAACAGCAAACUUAGUAUUUUACUACAUAAAAGAAACAAUUGAAAUAAUCCUAACUUCAGGUUAUCGUUGCAUAUAACAGAACAUUAUAUUUGAAAAUGAUCCUCAUUGAGUUUUUUGGAUUCAACAACUUUUUCUGUGGCUAAAAAUGUCCCUUGAGUUUCUGAAAUCUGCUAGAAUGCUGGGAAGAGCUGUGCAGAAAUACCUCCAAAGGGUCAGAAAGUAAUUUAGGAUUUUUAAUUCAAUGGAAUCAAUCUUUCUUGUGUAUUUUUACUUACUUUUUUAGACAAUAGGCCAAUGAUUGUAGGGUUUGUUCUAGCCUUGAAACCAACUCUCUGCAGAGCAAUUCCUGUUUCCACAAAGGGUGCAUCAGGAUGCAUGGGACCCCCGGAUCACAGGCCCCACGUGUGAACGAAGCAACACAGACCAUGGAUAACAGAGACCUCUCUAGGGUGAGUUCUCUUGAGAUGCAGGGCACGAUCAACAGGACGAACAAGCCUAAAGAUGACAAAUGGGUAUACUGGCAUGGGCUGGACGAAAGGAGGCAAUAGGGCUAAAAACACAGAACCAAACCUGUCAUUUCUCUCCACAACUUCCUUUUGAUCUCAAAUAUCAUGUGUUCUCACUUAUAAGUGGGAGCUAAACAAUGGGUACACUUGGGCAUGAAGAUGGAAAUCAUAGACACUGUGGAUUCCAAAGUAGGGGAGAAUGGGAGAGGGGCAAGGGUUCAAAAAUUACCUGUUAGGCACUAUGUUCACUAUCUUUUUUUUUUUUUUCUUUUUUGAGACGGAGUCUCGCUUUGUCGCCCAGCCUGGAGUGCAAUGGCGCGAUCCCGGCUCACUGCAACCUCUGCCCACCAGGUUCAAGUGAUUCUCCUGCCUCAGCCUCCUCAGUAGCUGGGACUACAGGCAUGCGCCACCACGCCUGGCUAAUUUUUGUAUUUUUAGUAGAGACAGGGUUUCGCCAUGUUGGGCAGGCUGAUCUCAAACUCCUGACCUCAAGUGAUCCGCCCACCUCGGCCUCCCAAAGUGCUGGGAUUACACAUGAGAGCCACCGCACCUGGCCUAUGUUCACUAUCUGGGUAACAAGUACACUAGAAGCCCAAUCCCACUGUUAUGCAAUAUACCCAUGCCUAUGUACGUGUACCCCCUGAAAACAUGCAUAUGUACCCCCGAAUCUAAAAUAAAAUAAAAGAGAUGCAGAAAAGAAUAAUUUAAAAAAUAUUUUGAGAAAUGUAUAACAAGAGCCAUAAAAGUGUUUAUAUUCCCUUGUCCUAGUAAUUCUGCUUGUGGAUAUUUAUCUUAACAAAAUCAUCAGAAAUGUGUAGAAUGAUUUAUGGAUAAGCAUGUUCACUGAAGCAUUCCUUAGACUAUAGGAAAAUUUGGGAAAAAAACCCCAAUAUACAAAAAUGAGGAAACACUUAAAUUAAUCGUAGUCCAUUCAGAUGAUGGAAUGCAGUGUAGAUAUGUAAAAAUCAUAUUUUCAGAGAUGGCUGUUGAUCAAUGAAAAUGCCCAAUCUAUAACAUUCCAUGAAAAAGACAGAUAUACAGCCAUAUAUUCCAUACAAUUAUAAUUUUAAAUAUGUAUGAAUGUGUGUGUAUAUAUAAUAUAUGUGAAAAAAUUGGAAAGAAAUACACUAAAAUGUUAACUCAUUAUCUCUAAGUGGCAGGAUUAUGAGAUUACAGGUGAUUGUUUCUGGUUCUUUGUAUUUUUUAGUAUUUUUUUUUAUUUUUUUGAGAUGGAUUCUCACUCUGUUGCCCAGGCUGGAGUGCAGUGGCAUGAUCUCAGCUCACUGCAACCUCUGCCUCCCAGGUUCAAGCGAUUCUCCUGCCUCAACCUCCCGAGUAGCUGGGACUACAGGUGCGCACCACCGUGCCCAGAUAAUUUUUGUAUUUUUAGUGGAGAUGGGGUUUCAUCAUGUUGGCCAGGAUGGUCUUGAUCUCUUGACCUCAUGAUCCACCCUGCUUGGCCUCCCAAACUGUUGGGAUUACAGGCGUGAGCCACUGCGCCUGGCCUAUAUUUUAGUGUUCUAAGAUUUUUCUACAAUGACUCUGUAUUGCUUUUAAUGUCAAAAAUCUCAAUAAUUUUGAAGGUUAUGGUAUUUAUAUACUUUUUUAAAAAAUGACAAAUGUUCUCCCUAAAUCAGAAAUGUGGACACCGUGUUUUGGCUUUAGUGUAGUGAGGUGGAGUAUUAUGAUUAAAUACUGUGUUUUCAAGCAUUAAUGACUCAAAGAGCAGGUACUUACAGAGCACCUAUUAUUGCCAUCAACCAGUGUUAUUGAGCACUUACUCAAUAAGUGUUGGCCUCUGACUUUACGCCUAAGAGUCAGGAGACCACAAAAAAGCAACAAUGUCAGGUCUGCAAGGUGAAGGCAAGAAGCUCAUGUUCUAGGUACUUGUGACUGUCCUGUAAUGCUAAAGAAUGAACCAUUACCAAAGAUUUGGCAAACUCGCCCAAGCUUACUCCUAAGGAGUCUAACCUUUGCCCAAGUAUCUAGGACUCAGGCCCACCUGCUUAGCCUGGUCUCACUGAAGUGUGGAGGCAAAGCAUUUGCAGCUUCAUCAUAUUCCAUUUUGUCUCAUAAGGAAAUUGUGUUAGUCCAAGAGGCUUGGUGUGUUACAUGGUUGUACAGCUUAGUGCUUUCUUAGCACUCUGUUUAAGUGCUGACAACUUGAUAUUUUCAUCAAUGGUUGCUAUAUUUCUCCAAUGUUAGGUUGACAGGCUAAUAAUUUCAGAAGUCAAUUUCUCCCUCUCUCUCUCUUCUCCCAGUUUACAUAUUUCUAUUUUCCAAUUCCUUUAUCUGCAUUUUGUAAAUACCUCAAAAUAGUGGAAGGCAAGGCCUCUAGGAUCACUUGGCCCAAUCUCCAUAUAAUUGGAUCCUUAGGGCUUGCUAUAUCUUUAAAGAAAUUGAGGUCACCUUUUGUCACCAAGAAUUAAGCACCUGUUGUGUGACUGAUGGAGAUCUGUACACAGAGCACAUUGCCCAGGGCAGGGGUGAUUUGGUUACAGGCAGCCUCUCGAUGUAUGAUAAAAGUUGGCAUCAGGUUGUAAACAUUUUGCUCACUGUAGCAGAAAGCUCUCUGUGAACGGAGAGCUGUCUAAACAGGGUGGUUGGCCACAGAACCUGCCCAGGGAUGCACCUCCUUUCCACAUUAGCCCAUGGCCUUUCCAGCCCUGAAAUCUGAGUUGCAUGUGAGUCACUUAGACAGGCCAUCUGUCAAUUAUUAAGCGACAUCAGUGGGCCCAGCAAUUCCAUUCUGCGUAGUGCAAAGGUCCUCCACACAUUCCAGGUCUAUACCAUCAAAGUGGCUAUUUUUCUCAACCUAUCCCUGCCCUUUAAGAAAAUGGGGGUCAUUUAUUUCCAGGGAUCACUAUUUACACCCCAUUGGCAGGUAGUGGAGCCCAGUGGUUAAUAAACAACCUUGUUUUAAAUCCCAUCUCUGUUGUUUGCAAGCUGUGUGUCUUUCAGAAACUUUACUUAAAUUUCUUGAGCAUCAGUUUCCUCACAAGGGUGUGGUCAAGUGAUAAUCAAGUAUUUGUACUUUAACCCUGUACCUGGCUGAUAGCAAGCCCUCAGAAAAGAAUUAACUUAGAGUUUUUAUACAUUCCCUCCAGUACAAUGUUCCUAACAUACAAGGGGCAUAUGUGUGUAUUAUGAGUGGGAAGAAGGAAGGAAGGAUGCAAUUGAUAAGGCUUGCAUUCAACAUUGCUGUAGUCAAACCCUCUUUCCUUAGGAAGAUCUGGAUGUGCCAACAUUUCUUAUAUAUCAUAUGUGGAGGUGACUUAGGUUUUUCUUUCAGUACUUCAUCAUUUGAAAGAGCAUUUGGUGAUAAUGAGCAGGUUCUGAAGUCUGUGAACUAAACUAAAAGUAAAAAUAAAUGGGACGGUGAAAUUUUGUUUGUGCCUUAAGGGAACUCCCUUUUACCCUCCCACUAUGUUGAUGAUGUCAUGUUUGUUCUAACAUAUCAUCUAACAAUUCCCUCCAUUCAUUUUUUUUCUCCUUAUUUCUUUUCCUUUCAAGUAACAGUAUCUUCAACAAUCGUUCGGCUGUUCAGGAACUUAAAAAUCAUGAGACGAUUCUUAAAGGAUAGGAACUAACAUUGAUCACACAGUGUGUAAUCCCACAUCUAUAUACUGGCAAAUGAUGGCACAAACACCAUAAAAUCUCAGCUUGCUUUGUAGCCAUUCUGGAUUGCUGAGUUCUAGGCAAGUAAGAGCUGGUCCUUCAAAGCACCAAAAGAAAGAAAGGAAGGAAG